rnacentral:rRNA from 1 species
UACAGAGGUCUCAAGCGUUGUUCGGAUUCAUUGGGCGUAAAGGGUGCGUAGGCGGCGCGGUAAGUCGGGUGUGAAAUCUCGGAGCUUAACUCCGAAACUGCAUUCGAUACUGCCGUGCUUGAGGACUGGAGAGGAGACUGGAAUUUACGGUGUAGCGGUGAAAUGCGUAGAUAUCGUAAGGAAGACCAGUGGCGAAGGCGGGUCUCUGGACAGUUCCUGACGCUGAUGCACGAAGGUCAGGGGAGCAAACGGG